rnacentral:rRNA from 1 species
AGCUCCAUGAGUGUAACUUUAUAUUGUUGCAGUUAAAAAGUUCGUAGUUGGAUGUCGAGCAAGUUCUGACGAGGGCGGUAAGCAUCGUUCCUUGACAGUCUUGUUUUUCUUGGCGAUUUACUCUCAGUGGGCAUUAAUUUGUCCGCUGAAAAGGGGGCGACCCUGGGUUUCGUCUAGUUUACUGUGAGAAAAUGAGAAUGUUCAUGGUAGGCACUUUGCCUGAAUUUUUCAGCACAGGAUAAUGCAAAAUGCUCAACUUUGUUGAUACGCGGUUCGCCGCAGUUUGUUGGUUUUGAACAGAGAGGAGAAUGAUUGAAAGAAACGGUUGGCGGAGAUAGUACUAGGCAGUGAGAGGUGAAAUUCGUUGAUCUGCUUAAGACUGGCGAUUGCGAAGGCAUUC